rnacentral:rRNA from 1 species
AACGAACGCUGGCGGCAUGCCUAACACAUGCAAGUCGAACGAGACCUCCGUGACUACUUGCUCACGGGUGCGUAACGCGGCGGACCCUGCCGUUAUGCUCGGAAUAACUCUUCUACAGGGGUGCUAAUAUCGGGAAACUUCCUCGGAUCCAAGAUAUGACGUGCUUGGGUGGGCCCGCGUUGGUCUAGCCUGUUGGUAGGGGAAAAGCCUACCACGGAGUCGAUCCAUAGCUGGUUUGAGAGGAUGAGCAGCCACACUGAGUGUGAGAAGCGGCCCGGACUCCUACGGGAGGCGGGAGUGGGGGAUAUUGGACAAUGGGCGGAGGCCUGAUCCAGCAAUGCCGCGUGAGUGAUGAAGGCCUGAGAGUUGUAAAGCACUUUUACCCGGGAUGAUAAUGACGGUACCGAAAGAAUAAGCACCGGCUAACUCCGUG